GGCUAUGUAGCUCAGUCGGUAGAGCCAGGUGCGCCCCACCCAUUGUCGCUGGUUCGAUUCCAGCCAUAGCAAGUCCGA
rnacentral:tRNA from 1 species